GGAGGAGCGCCGGAUCUUGGACUGUGUCCCCCAGCGCCCUGGGCUCCGGGGCUUGCGCCACUGGAAUGACGCUCCUGGGGCUGCGCAGCCCAUU
rnacentral:pre_miRNA from 1 species